rnacentral:sRNA from 1 species
GGGCGGGACCUGGGGCGGAGAGCGGUUCGCGCGCUUCGGGCCUAGUCCGGACUCGCCGCCGCUGCCGCCAUAUUCCCGUGGCAUCUUCCUUACUUUGUCCAUCCUCCGGACUCGCGAUCUUCCUUCCGGAGCCAUGUCAGAAGGAGUGGACUUGAUUGAUAUAUAUGCUGACGAGGAGUUCAACCAGGACCCAGAGUUCAACAAUACAGAUCAGAUUGACCUGUAUGAUGAUGUGCUGACAGCCACCUCACAGCCCUCAGAUGACAGAAGCAGCAGCACUGAGCCACCUCCUCCUGUUCGCCAGGAGCCAUCUCCCAAGCCCAACAACAAGACCCCUGCAAUUCUGUAUACCUACAGUGGCCUGCGUAAUAGACGAGCUGCCGUCUAUGUGGGCAGCUUCUCCUGGCAGGGUCAUCUGUGGGACGAGAUAUCAGAGUGAACACCUUGAACUCUUGGUGGUCAUUAGAUGGUCCUGUGAUAAUGGUGGGUGAUGGGGAUUAAACACCUUGAUAACUCUAGUAUACUUGGGGUAGGUGGUGACUGU